rnacentral:rRNA from 1 species
GACGAACGCUGGCGGCGUGCUUAACACAUGCAAGUCGAACGCUGAAGCUCAGCUUUUGUUGGGUGGAUGAGUGGCGAACGGGUGAGUAACACGUGAGUAACCUGCCCCCUUCUUUGGGAUAACGCCCGGAAACGGGUGCUAAUACUGGAUAUUCACUGGUCUUCGCAUGGGGGUUGGUGGAAAGGGUUUUUCUGGUGGGGGAUGGGCUCGCGGCCUAUCAGCUUGUUGGUGGGGUGAUGGCCUACCAAGGCUUUGACGGGUAGCCGGCCUGAGAGAGUGACCGGUCACAUUGGGACUGAGAUACGGCCCAGACUCCUGCGGGAGGCAGCAGUGGGGAAUAUUGCACAAUGGGCGCAAGCCUGAUGCAGCGACGCCGCGUGAGGGAUGGAGGCCUUCGGGUUGUGAACCUCUUUCGCUCAUGGUCAAGCCGCAACAAUGGUUGUGGUGAGGGUAGUGGGUAAAGAAGCGCCGGCUAACUACGUG